UCUAGGCAUUUCUUCUCCAUGUGUGCAGUCCCCCUCUUCUGGUCAUUAAGACAUUUGGUCAUGACUGCAGUUCAAUUUUCUGUGUGAUUUUCUGAUACUGCUUAAAUAUGUAGAAUGUUACGCUGAACAACUCUGGUAGUAGUACACACACACCAUGUCGCUAUUGUCUGCCCUGCCAUAUGACAGCUGCUUAGCGUGGAGAUAUUUCAGUAUUGUGUAGCUGUGUAGACUAGUAUGCUGUUCUUCUGGUGAUUAGCAAAAAGAAGCUUCUGUAAGGAUAUCAAAAGGUUAUUAAAGGGAUUGCAGAGGUUUCUUCUUGGAGGGAACUUUUCUAGCUGAUUUAAAACACUGUAAAAGAGGAUUUAUAAUGGAAAUCUCUACCCUUGCUGUAAUGGCAUUAGCAGGACAUCCAGACCAGGUUCAGCUUGAUGAAGACUUGCCACAUACCUGAGCAAUUUCUGCCAAUAUUCAAUUAAAC